rnacentral:rRNA from 1 species
ACGGAAGGCAGCAGUGGGGAAUAUUGCACAAUGGGGGAAACCCUGAUGCAGCGACGCCGCGUGAGCGAAGAAGUAUUUCGGUAUGUAAAGCUCUAUCAGCAGGGAAGAAAAUGACGGUACCUGACUAAGAAGCUCCGGCUAAAUACGUGCCAGCAGCCGCGGUAAUACGUAUGGAGCAAGCGUUAUCCGGAUUUACUGGGUGUAAAGGGAGCGCAGGCGGUAGUAUAAGUCUGAUGUGAAAGGCCGGGGCCCAACCCCGGGACUGCAUUGGAAACUAUACAACUAGAGUAUCGGAGGGGCAAGUGGAAUUCCUAGUGUAGCGGUGAAAUGCGUAGAUAUUAGGAGGAACACCAGUGGCGAAGGCGGCUUGCUGGACGAUAACUGACGCUGAGGCUCGAAAGCGUGGGGAGCAAACAGGAUUAGAUACCCUGGUA